GGCACUUUGGCGGAGUGGUUAACGCGCUGCCCUGCUAUCUUCUGAUCUCAUCAAGGAUAUCGGUCAGGCAGUUCCCUCGGGAGCGUGUGUUCGAAUCACACAGGUGUCG